CAUGGGUUAGGAUGUCGAAGACGCUAGGUCCAAUCAAGGUCACAGUUACAGAUACUGUGGGUUAGAACUUUGAAGUUCUAAUCAAGGUCACAAUUACAGAUACCAUGGGUUAGGAUGGCGAAGACGCUAUGUCCAAUCAAGGUCGCAGUUACAGAUACUGUGGGAAUCAAAGAGUUAAUGCAUGCGCCAUUCUGAGAAUGACACCUGGCCUACAGUAAGUUCUCAUUCUUAUGUGCUUCUGGGGAAAGGAGAGCACCUCCGCUGUCUGCAGGAAAGUCAUUCUGAGAACUAAGCAAUGGCUUUUCCCGGGAUUUCAUCAUGAUUUUAUUUGGGGAAAGGAGAUCUCAUGGGUGUCUGCAAGAAGAAGGGUAAAAAAAUAGCUUCGAGAAUUGCUUGGUGGGGGGACAGGAGCCUCUAUUUUUAGGCCUCUGAAAAAUCAGCCAAGCCCUGGAUUUGGGACACAGCUGCAGAUGCUCAGACUAUGGAUGAAAGGGGAGAAAUGGGAGCAGACACCAGAAAUGUGGUCUGCCUUGAGCCAAAUGCUUUGAGACGGAGAAAGGUUUGCUUGUCUGACUUUUCAAUAUGGGCCACCAUGGCUGCACGCUCCCGUGGGACCUCCUGUCUCCUUGGUGGCACCCACUGCAUUUGUAAUUUCUCAGUUGCUGCCAUGAUGUAGAAGCUUGGCUUAAAUCUUGUCCCCACUGUUUACUAACUGGGUGGCCUUGGCUAAGUCACGUAACCUUCCUGUUCUUCAGAUCCCAGGGCCUGUACCCCAGGGACCCUGAUUCAGGAACAUGCAUUUUUACCAAGCACCCUAAGUAGAGGUUUCUAGAAUGGUCCGUCCCCAUGGGCCCUUGUUAACUUUGCUAAUAAUUAGAAAACCACCCUAUAACCUUCCUGUUCUUCAGAUUCCAGGGCUUGUACCCCAGAGACCCUGACUCAGGAACAUGUAUUUUUUUACCAAGCACCCUAAGUGGAGGUUCUGGAACGGUCUGUUCCCAUGGGCCCUUGUUAACUUUACUAAGAAUUAGAAAACUGUCCUAGGAGUUGGAAGACUUCUUUUCUACUCUUCUUUCUUUUUUAAAUAAAUGGUGUGAUUCCAGUCAUGCCAAUUAACUGC